rnacentral:tRNA from 1 species
UAAGAUAUGGCCGAGUGUUUAAGGCGAUUUACUUGCACUGCAUUUCCCGUGUGAGGGCAUACGUUCAAAUCCGACUAUCUUCG